AUUUGCUGCAGGUUGUCAAAGAUCAGCUGUGCUUCUCUGGCCUCAGCUCUGAAGUCCAACCCCUCAUCCCAUCUGAGAUAUCUGAAUCUAGGAGGAAAUGGCCUGAAGGGCUCGGACGUGAAGCGGCUGUCUCGACUUACGAAGAGUCCAGACUGUAGACUGGAGACUCUGAGCUUGGAUUCGGAUUAGUGAUCUCUGUCAGAGUGUGAGUGAACAUCCAGGAGUGUGUGUUGAGAGAGGAUCAGCUGGAUCCUGAUGAUCCAUCUGGACCGGAGUCUGGAUCUGGAUUUUGUCAUCUUCACUUAAGUCUCUUAACUGACUACAAACUGAAAAGUUAUCUCUGGAUUUUGUUGAAUCAGCACUUUACAGAUGUGUUAUACAUGAGCUGUUUGAUGCAGAAAAGAUUAAUAAACAGGCGUUAUAAGUCAGA